rnacentral:rRNA from 1 species
CAGCCAUAUCAUGUUGAAACACCAGUUCUCAUACAAUCACCAAAUUUAAGCAACAUUGAGCCUGGUCAGUAUCUAGAUGGGUGACCACUUGGGUAUAUCAGCUAGAU